rnacentral:rRNA from 1 species
UACGUAGGGUGCAAGCGUUGUCCGGAAUUAUUGGGCGUAAAGAGCUCGUAGGCGGUUUGUCGCGUCUGCUGUGAAAACUCGGGGCUUAACCCCGAGCCUGCAGUGGAUACGGGCAGACUAGAGGUAGGUAGGGGAGAAUGGAAUUCCCGGUGUAGCGGUGAAAUGCGCAGAUAUCGGGAGGAACACCGGUGGCGAAGGCGGUUCUCUGGGCCUUACCUGACGCUGAGGAGCGAAAGCGUGGGGAGCGAACAGG